AGCUCCACGCCCUACUCUACAUGCAAUUACUAGUUAGGACAAACAUUUGGGCAUUUUUAAAUAGUAACACUCAUCUGGAAAGAGCAGGUUUCUGCCCUGUAUUUUAAAAGCGCCACAUGUUACUGCGGUUUUUAAGGGACAGCAUGAAGAAGUGUAGAAGUCAGCUACUGAGUCGAGGUCAGAAGGUGAAAGCAGUACCUGAUCGACCAGCAGCUGAAGCCUUUAGGGCAGGGAGAUGCUUUUGAUUCCUGAUGAUCCACAGCCCACCUGGGUCCUUCGCCCCUGCAUGGUGUAAAGGUGACAGGGAACCGUAACAAACACAACUCAGCCUGCACAGCAACGGUGUAAAACAGUGUAACGUGACUUCAACAAGGGACAUCAUAAAAGCAUGACAGCUUAUCUGCAUGCUGCACCUCGAGGUCAAGAUUGGCCUGCAAGACCACAGAGAAUUAUGAUUAUGUGUAUCUGUGUGUGUGUCUGUGUGUUUGAUUAUAUGUUUCUAGAUGAUUAAAAGCUGUACACCUCCAGUUAACAGUCUUUAUAAUUUGGAUUUCUCUUUUUUUAACUAUUAUUGUGAAAUCUGUCAUGAAAAAUAUUCUCUUUGUAGUCCCACAUAGCAUGUUACUAUACUGACAGUUCCUCAGUUCCGUUCUGAAACAGACAAUAACAGGACAGUAUUUACAAAGCACAGCUACAAAGGGGAUGUUUAUCAAUGCCAAGGAUGCAAAAGCGCUGCCUUGCUAACUUGCCUCCCAAGAACAAAUUUGGGAAGCUAUGAAUCAUGGGAUGGAUCUUAUUGAUGAGGAUUCAACCAAUGUAUCCUUGAUACUUGGGACUGAGCAAUAACAGCAUCUGGGGAUCUUUGCCAUCCUCUAUACUUCUCUUCUUGAGUAUUCUGACUGUAUUUUGGCAAAAAGAAGAAGACGUCAUACUGGCGUGUGAAAAACAGUGUGCUAAAGACUGUGGAAGCCCAUUCCAUGAAGCUCCCAGCACACAAAUUUCUGCUGGGAUUACUGCCAGAGAAAGUUUGCAACUCUGCAGUUAUUGAGUCAACAGAGCGAUGGUGACCUUUACACACCACGCGCCUCAGCACUCAGCGACCCCACUGUUACUCUACCUGGUCUGUCACUUCGUGGCUGAUUUCCUGUUACUCCUAAACGCUUCCACUUUGCAUUAAUACCACAUCCAUCAGACUGUGGAAUAUCUAGCUGGGAAAAAAUUUCACGGAUUGACAUUGCAAAUGUGGCAUCCUAUGACAGUAUCACAAUUGAAUUUACUGAGCUCUUCUGAGUGAGCCAUUCUUUCACAAAUGAUUGUAAACCUGACUGCAUGGCUAGGUGCUUGAUUUGAUAUCCCUGUGGCAAAGGGUCCGAAUGAAACACCGGAAUUCAAUGGUUAAGAGGUGUGUCCCAAUACUUUUGUCCAUAUAGUGAAUAUAAAAGUUCCAACGUGGCUCCUCUGUUGGACAGUUGUCUUCUCUGUGAUAGUGGCCCUUGCAUGCUUCUGUGAUUUGCCUGCAGCUGGUAGUAUUCUGUACUCCACUCAUCCUUGGCUGUGGGCAAAUUGACAAACUGGACCCGGCUGCUGCAGCUGCUGAGAGAGAGAAGAGAGCAACAUCUCAU